rnacentral:rRNA from 1 species
UACAGAGACUGCAAGCGUUAUUCGGAUUCACUGGGCGUAAAGAGCGUGUAGGCGGCCAGGUAGGUCUGCUGUGAAAACUCGAGGCUCAACCUCGAGACGUCGGCGGAAACCAUCUGGCUAGAGUCCGGAAGAGGAGAGUGGAAUUCCUGGUGUAGCGGUGAAAUGCGCAGAUAUCAGGAAGAACACCCGUGGCGAAGGCGGCUCUCUGGGACGGUACUGACGCUGAGACGCGAAAGCGUGGGGAGCGAACAGG